rnacentral:tRNA from 1 species
CGUUUUAAGAGAGACGGGAGAAGG